rnacentral:lncRNA from 1 species
UCACUUUGCCAACAUUCAGAUUUUUAUAUGUUGAUGCUUUUGAGUUGAUAUGGAUGCAAGAGUGCUUUUAUCUGAAUGUAGUCACUUUGCCAACAUUCAGUGAUUGUGCUUAAAAUUACCAGGUGCUAAUGCAUCUCAAUAUAUGCAUGCACAUUUAGCAGAUUAUUAGAUGGCUCUGACAUAAUGUUUCUUCAUUUGUUUAUUUUGUAUCAUGAGUGUCUUCAUGUUCUCUUGUGCUGGCUGCAUCACAUUUUAUCUAUUUUGAUGCUUUUGAGUUGAUAUGGAUGCAAGAAUGCUUUUAUCUUAAUUUAAUCACUUUGCCUACAUGGAUUGAGUGUUCUUAAAAUUAUCAGUUGUUAACUUAUCUCAAUAUAUGCAUACGAAUUUAACAUAUUAAUAGAUACCUCUGAAAACAUGUUUCGUGUUUUGUGUAUUUUGUAUCAUGAACUUUUGUGUAUUUUGUAUCACACUUGAUGAUUGAGUGUAUUUUUCUUAUCCUUUUUUAAAUGUACAUGAGGAGUUGAUUUAUGUGAAAUUGUUUUUUACCUGUUCACUGCAGGCAUUAGCCAGACUCCCUCAAUGCUUUGUUCGCAAUUUCGGGGUCUUAAUUGAUACAUAUGUGAUUCUUCGAGAUCCUAAUCCUAAUGAGUUCGAGCAUGUUAUGAAAAAAUCUAAUGACAUGUACUUUGAUCAAGGAUGGUUGGUUCUUAGAAAUGUUUACGACAUAUGGUUUGGUGUUUGGCUUAGUUUUACUUAUGUUAAUCCUAAGCUUUUAAAUAUAACAUAAGAUGUUUAUAAUCUUUACCUCGUAUUUAUAUAAUGUGAUCCUAUUCCAUCUUCAAUAGAUUUUGUAUCUUUCUAAUAUAGAUUUCUAUAAUUUAUUUGCGCUUCGUAUAAUCAUCGAUAAAUAUCUAAGAAUUUGAUAUAUUACCUUAUUGUACGAUUUAUAAAUCUUCUGGUAUUGAUUGAGGUCCUUCGGGUAUAAAUCUAGAUAUGAAUUCAUG